rnacentral:ncRNA from 1 species
GAAAAGGUUUUAUUUAAAACCAUCCAUAAUAUAUAUAUAAUUUGUU